rnacentral:rRNA from 1 species
GACGUAGGAUGCAAGCGUCGUCCGGAUUUAUUGGGUGUAAAGAGUUCGUAGGCGGUUUGUUAAGUCUGAUGUUAAAGAUCGGGGCCCAACCCCGAGACUGCAUUGGAUACUGGCAGACUUGAGUGUGGUAGAGGUAAGUGGAAUUUCUGGUGUGGCGGUGAAAUGCGUAGAUGUCAGAAAGAACACCAGUGGCGUAGGCGACUUACUGGGCCAUAACUGACGCUGAGGAACGAAAGCCAGGGGAGCAAAUGGG